CUUCCCAUCUUCUCGUCAGAAGAGAGAAGCUGCUCAAUUUUGCAGUCGUCUUCCUUCUUUUCUUUCUUCCGCACCUCUCGCCAGGAGAAGAAAGCAGUGUCUGCAGUUGCAAAUGGAGGAGGACGAGAUCACCAUGAAAUAGUUACUAUGAUGUUGGCCCGGCUCACUCAGAGUGCACCAUUUUUGGGCAAUGCAAAGCCCUAAGACCUUGUUAUCUGAUUGAGCCGUGCCAAUAUCUUAGUACUCUUUCAUCCCACCCAGUCAAGGCUGCCUACUUUUAACAGUCACAAGUUAAGGCAACGUGAAAGCUGCAGGUCUAGGAGAAGAGCCAAUUAAUCUGUGCACGAGAAAAGCACUGUUGCUAAUCACACUGCAUGCAUGGGAAUGGAUCUCUUCAUUAGGUUUAAUCUCCUGCAAGAGGAACAGAUGACCAAGGAAGGAGAACAAGUGGUUCAAGAGGAUUAACUGAACGUACGUAAAUGAGAGAGAAAAGCAAACAUCAAAGCAUUUGAACAGUAAAGCUGCAUUUAAGCACGUAAAUGCUCGUCUUCACGUCGCGACAGUCAUACGGAGAUUCCCAUAUUAAUGUCUUCACCACCCGUUUGAUUCCGCUGACGCCAUUUACUACGAGCUUUCCAUUGAUUCUACCGCUUUCCUCCUCCCCUUUUUUUACCGUCAGAUGUAAAAGCAAUGACAGCUACCUGUCAUCUGAUGUAUGUGACCAUCGGGAAGCAUUAUAAUACAUCCUUUAUAGAUAUGGAAUGUAUCAU